AUGUAUGUAGCAUGGAAGAUACCGAGGGCAUUAAGAGAUGGGAUUAAGUUUAAAAUCAGACCAUUAAGACCACAUUCACUCAAAGAUGCUUACUGUUUAGCAAGAGAUGUAGAACCUAAUCAUCCACCUGUAGUUUCAGCUGGGAAGAAACAAGGUUUUGCUUAUACCAACUAUUAUCAGAAAAACAGUGGGGGAACUUCAAGCAAAGCAAAUACUGCUUCUGUUUCUAUGCAGCAACAUACAACAAAUCAGAAUACUGAAUUUUCUGUAGGCAAUGUUCAGAAAUUAAGGAAGGUGGGUGAAUGUUGGAGAUGUGGAGAUAAAUGGGUACAUGGCCACAAGUACAAGCUUAUCCCAAAUGUCCAUCUCCUACAACAGGAAACACCAGAGGAAAUACAGCUAGAAUCUGAAGAAAAUCUAUUGCGGGAGCAGGAAGAAAAAUCAGAGGAACAAGAGCAAGUUAUGUUCAUUUCUGCUUUUGCUAUAGGGUAG
rnacentral:rRNA from 1 species